GAGACAGCAGUCGCCGCGGGAAUACGGAGGGCGCGAGCGUUACCCGGAUUUACUGGGCGUAAAGGGCGUGUAGGCGGCCUGGGGCGUCCCAUGUGAAAGGCCACGGCUCAACCGUGGAGGAGCGUGGGAUACGCUCAGGCUAGAGGGUGGGAGAGGGUGGUGGAAUCCCCGGAGUAGCGGUGAAAUGCGCAGAUACCGGGAGGAACGCCGAUGGCGAAGGCAGCCACCUGGUCCACUUCUGACGCUGAGGCGCGAAAGCGUGGGGAGCAAACCGGAUUAGAUACCCGUGUAGUCCCUGUCUCUUAUAC
rnacentral:rRNA from 1 species